rnacentral:sRNA from 2 species
GGCAUUGUUAGGGUGAGCAUACCGUGUCUUGUUCGCACGGCCCAGCCGCGAACAGAGGACGAUAAGGUCGAUUGGCACGAAGCACUCAAUGUCGUUCUUUUCCCCCGCUGAAUUGUAUAGUGCGUACCUCACUACGUUAAGUACCUCCAAAGUUUCGCCUUGCGCAAGGUAACCUUUCUAAAGUAUAUAGCCUUCUGCCGUGAGCCUUGUCUGAGCGGUGGUCUCCCCGUCACCCUUUGGACCGGCGAAGCCAGGCAAAACGCAUCGCUGCGGUAAUGCGUCUGGCACAUGCGGUCCUCGGUUCUUCUUGGUUCUGUUAGUAUGAGACUGAUGGAGAAAAGAUAUCAAAAAUGAUAGACGCUGUUGGAUGAUCCUUUAAUAUUGGCUAUUGAAGCGACACUGUUGUCUCUUGAACGAAGGUAAUUCCACGUAAUAAGCGAAGAUUGAAAAGUACUAUGUUAGUAGGAUUGAUAUGCAAGAUGGUCAUUCGAAAAUAUGUAUAUAUAAUAGUCAGCUAUGAAGCAUUUCUUGCACUAACCC